rnacentral:misc_RNA from 1 species
GAAAAACAAAACAAAACAGAGAGCAGGGCCUUGCGCGCGCACACCAACUGCGCUCCUCCCCCACCGACACCGACACAGGUGCGCCCAUGCACAGCGGCGACCAUGGAAAGCAACACUCGCGCGCAGCCCAAGAUGCAGGGGGGUGCCACGCCCGUCAUUGAGCGCAUCCUUUCCCACAAGCACCUGCGGCAGCCCUGCUCCGCCAUCUCCGCAUCCUUCGAGCCCUUCCGAGGCAUCGGCGAUGGCAGCGGAGAGAUGCCGGGCUCUGAUGACGGUGAUAAGGCCCAAAGGGAUUUUCGUGGCAGGGGCGCGUUGGAGGCCUCCGACGCCGCUGUGGCACCCACGUAUCAUCGCAUCAUGAUCGACGGCGAUGAGGGCGACAAAGACUACCUCAAGUGCGUCGGCAUCAUGGCGCACAUCAUCCAGGCUCGUCAGGCAUACAAGCAUACGGACCAAGGGCAGCUAGAGGUGCCUUUGACAGCAGAGGAGCUGGAGAGGCGUUACUGCGGCACUGCGGCGCCUGCUACUUCGGCGUUGGGGGGGUCGCAAGCCGCGUCGGUGUCUUCCCCUCUUUCGUCGCCAGCCGGCAAGAUGCCGAAAGGCCCGCUAUCACAGACUGAUGACUCCACAGCGGUGGCCUCGCUCAUGGGGCUCGAGUUUCGCCACGGCGUCUUUGGCUUUGAAGGCAUGCGCACUCGUGUCGUGCCAUGGGAACAGUACGUGCGCGAUAUCCGCGCCGUCUACGGGGCCAUCGAGAACGGCCCGUGUCUCUCCACCGCCCGCAUGCGCCUCACCUCCAUCGCCGAGAAGUUCCGCCUGUACCUGUUGCUUAACCUGGAAAUCGAAGGCAACUAUGAUGAGCUGUACCGCGACGGUGGCGUCUACGCCCCGUGCACGCGCGUCGACAAUGGCGUGAACAUGCGCACGUCUGUUGUGGCGCCGGUGCUGCUGGAGUACGUGGUGACUACGGCGCUAGAGCAGCCGCGCGCUCCCCUCUACGUCGACCCCCACACGCAGCAGGUCGUGACACUGGCUGCCUACCUUGAAGCGGGCGGUAUCCAAGACCCGCGCGAGCUCACGGUGGAGGGACUCGGCUUGCAACCUACACUGUACCGCAACAAGUACCUGCCAUACGACCCGUUCGAUGCGAAGCUGAACCCCGCUGGCGCCUUUGGUGCGACGCUGCUGCAGGCACUCUUGUCAACCGAUGGACCGAGCCACGGAAACCUGUGCGGCAUGCUGCUCCGCGCCGAGCUGGAGCAGCGCGAGUACCAGAAGCAGCAGAUGACGGCGACCGAGAUGAUGCUGGAGAUCUGCGGGCACCACCCGGAGGAGCUCACGCGACUCGCGGUGUGGGUGCGUCGGCAGGGCUUCAACAAGUUUUCGCGCAAUCGAUGGGUGCUGGCGAUUCAGCGAGAGCGCCACUCCACGAAGCAGCUGGGGCCAAGCCAGCUUCCCUCUCUCUGCACCACCGUUGGUGAUCAGCUGCGGCACAUUUUCUAUCCCCUCUUCAUGGCGACGCUGUGCCCACAGGAUCCGCAGUGGUCGGACGUGGCGCAGCUGCUGUGCCACACCGGCGCCCUCGGCAUUCGCACUCACGCUGUCGUGCGCUCUGAAAAUUUCAGCGCCACUCCUGUGGACCCGGACGCGCUUCCGUGCACCAACGCACUACGUGAGGAUGGGCAGACCGCCGGCCACGGAAGUGCGAUGGCGCACGGUGGUGGGUGCAGCGACUACUACUUCUUUUACUACGUCUGGGCUAACCUGGCGUCGCUGAAUGCGCUGCGCACGCGCCUCGGCCUCCACACACUUUUCUUCACGCCGUCCGUAAAUGAGAAGGCGCCGGCGUACGACCAGCUUGUCAGCUCCUUCCUCCUCGGCGACGUCGUGCACGACGUGAGCUCACUCGCGCAAAGUUGGAUUAUGCAGUUCCUGUACAUGUACUGCCGCAUCGGCAUCGUACUCUCCCCCUUGCGCGACAACGCGCUCAGCACCGCGUACUUUGACAGUCCGUUCGUGAAGUAUUUCCGCCAAGGGAUGCGGGUAUCGAUCAGCACGUCCGACCCGCUGUACUUCCACCACCACGAGUCGCAGCCGCUUAUCGAGGAGUAUGCGACGUUGAGCAAGCUGUGCUCGUUGACGCCGAUGGACACGAUGGAGCUGGGGCGCAACAGCGUACUGAAUAGCAGCUUCCCGCUGGAGGUGAAGCAGGCUUGGCUGGGCGAGCGCUUUUCUACGCUAGGGGCGGAGGGCAACGACCUGCGUCGCUGCGGCGUGUGUGACUAUCGCCUGCAGUUCCGCCACGAGACCCUCGCGCAUGAGGAGGCGCUUCUAAACCAGCUCCUGGCGAAGGCCGGCAUCAAGGCGCCAGGCGGCGUGGGCUCGGGCGUUGACGGCGGCGACAGCGACGGCGGAGCCCUUUCACUGCACCUCAUCCCCUACGCGCAGUCGGUGCUGGUUUCGGACCUCGUCCAGCAGUCUCGCCACUCGCGCCGCAUGAACUACACGGACCAGCGCAUUGUGUACCCCCGCAUCGACAUCUACUACGGCGGCCAUCGCUCGGGCUUCGCGACGGAGGCGGUGGCGGCGCUGCGGCAGGUCGUCGCGCUCCGUCUCAAGUACGUCGGAAAUGCGAACCGCACGGCGGUGGCGACUGACGCCAACGUGCACGUCGAAGACGUCUUCAGCACCACCCGUCAAUUUGAUGAGGCGCAGUGGGAGUACAACACGUACUAUGGCGUGUGCAUCUUGUCUCAGCAGGGCAAGACGCCGUUGUGGCCGACGUUCCUGCCGACCAUUACGGAGUUCAUUCGCGACAUGUCCGUGAUUCGGCAGACGGCGAGCUCGGUGGCUCUGCAGCGGCUCGCGACGCACCGACUUCACCUGCUGGAGCAGAAGUUCCUGCUCCACCUCUCCAUGAACAUCUCCAACGAGGCCGGCAAGAGGGAGGAGAAGGAGUGGAACAACCGCGACUUCUUCACCGCCUACAAGGUGGACACGAACGUGCAUACCGACGCCGGCUCGAACGCCCGCACGCUGCUGGAGUUCUUUGUCGACAAGGCCCUGAAUCACGGCGAGGACGUCGUCUUCGAGCGCGAUCAUCACCCCGUCACGCUCAAGGAGCUGCUGAGCGAGUACGAGAUUGACGUGCACCACAUCACCGUCGACGAGCUUAACCACCGCCUGAACACGCACCCCGACCUGCGUGAAAUCUUCCUGUCACCGUUUAACUUCAUGCAAGGCCGUUACUUUGCCGAGCUGACUAAGCGGACUCUGGACAUCUACGAGGAGGACGCCUUCAGCUACGCCGAGAACCGGCUCUCCAUCACCGGUGCCUCCGAACAGGAGUGGUACGAUCUGGCGCACUGGUUCGAUUGCUACGGCAUGGCCAGCUCGCGUAGCCGUUGGAUGGUGUGCCUGCCGUGGCAUUACCGCCGCCUACGCCGAAACGGAGUGCUGAAGAACUUCGGCGCGUUCCUCGACAAUGUCUUCCAUCCGCUGUGGGAGAUCAGCAUGCACCCGGCCAAGGACACAAAGUUCCACUACCUACUGGCGCACCUGUCCGGCUUUGACUGCAUCGCGGAUGAAUCGAAGAUCGACCUGCCGCUCACGGACGUCUCACCGCACGACUGGAACAGCGACUUGAACCCGCCGUACAGCUACUACAUGUACUACAUAUGGGCAAAUAUCACGUCGCUUAACGAGUUCCGGGCCUCGCGCGGGCUGAGCACGUUCACCCUGCGUCCGCAGUGCGGCGAGCGCGGCAGUAUGGACCACCUCGUGAGCGGCUUCUGCUUGGCUAACAGCAUCAACCACGGCGUCACGCUGGCGCGGCACCCCGUGCUGGAGUACAUGUGGUACAUUGCUCAGGUCGGCGUGGCAAUGUCCCCGCUCAGCAACACAGCUGGCGCCUCCGCCUACCUUGAGAACCCUUUCCCGGUCUUUUUCCAUCGCGGCUUGAACGUUAGCCUCGCAACGAAUCAGCCGCUCUACUUCCACUUCACGCGUGAGCCGCUUGUGGAGGAGUACUCGAUCGCCGCGAAGCUGUGGAAGUUCGAGCUGAAUGACAUGUCCGAAAUCGCGCGCAACAGCGUCUUGCAGAGCGGUUUCUCGGCUGCGUGGAAGGAAAACGCGCUGGGCCCGCGGUAUCAGCUGCGCUCUACCCUUGGCAACGACGUGCGUCGCAGCCGCGUGUCAGACAUUCGCGUGGCGUACCGAUAUGAAGUGUACCACACUGAGCUGAACUUCCUGGACGAGCAGCUCGCCGCCGCUUCUCCCGGGUUCGCGGGGAAAUCGUCGGUACCCGAGACCGCAUCGCCUCCUGCGGAGGCGGACGCAAGCCGGGGACAUAUGAACAGCCUCUUAAAUGGCGUCUCUCGAUUUUCCACAGACGCCGGCUGUGAGCCUGCGGCUGGCGCUGGCAGGUCUCCUGCCCCCACUGCAUCGUCUCAGCGGAUGCCGCGUGCCAUGAAGCUGUUGGAAGAGGAGCUGGCCAUUUGCGGGGACGUUUGGCAGGGAGUGGCAUCGACUCCGCUGUUACCGACCUCCACCACGAACACGGAUGGCUCAUUGAUGUUUCUGCACACGACCAACUCCCGAAGUGUGCAUCUGUCACGGCACAGCUCCUCGGAACUCCUGCCACCGCCGUUGGCGUCACGGACGGCGCAGUUGCGUGGAGAGAUUCGACGGCUCGACGCGGAACUAACCCGCAUGCGAGCCGUCUCGCUACAGGUGGCCGGCGAGAACAAUUCCAUUGCUGUGCAGGUGAACGCACUGCGCGAGCGGCUUCAGACCGAAGGGCUAACCAUCCUGGGCGGCCUGUGCGGCAGCGCGAACGAAGAGGAAAUCGAGCCGUCGUCAACGUCAAGUGGCGAGUCUGCGGUGACUGGGGCCGCCGCGGUGGAAGAGGUGGAGGGCGGUGGUGGGCGACCGUCUCUCUAAGCAGCGUUCGUUAGCCGAGGCACUCUCCUUCCCGUGCCCGUGACAUGGCGCGUGAUGCGAUGCGUGCACGCUACGCUAAGUCGGACGGAGCGUUUGAGCGCCACCAUGCUCUUCCCGUUCUUCUUUUUGGUUUGCUUGCCUUUGGAUGCCAUCGAUGUACAUAGAUCGGCCACCUCGCGCGCCGCUUGCGUCUGGAAUACCUUCUAUAUAUUUUCACGUACUGGCACCUGGCCUAGC